rnacentral:rRNA from 1 species
ACGGGUGAGUAACACGUAUGCAAUCCACCUGUAACAGGGGGAUAACCCGGAGAAAUCCGGACUAAUACCCCAUAAUAUGGGCGCUCCGCAUGGAGAGUCCAUUAAAGAGAGCAAUCUUGGUUACAGACGAGCAUGCGCUCCAUUAGCCAGUUGGCGGGGUAACGGCCCACCAAGGCGACGAUGGAUAGGGGUUCUGAGAGGAAGGUCCCCCACAUUGGAACUGAGACACGGACCAA